CAUUCACGGAGAGUUUGAUCCUGGCUCAGGACGAACGCUGGCGGCGUGCUUAACACAUGCAAGUCGAACGAUGAAGCCUUUCGGGGUGGAUUAGUGGCGAACGGGUGAGUAACACGUGGGCAAUCUGCCCUUCACUCUGGGACAAGCCCUGGAAACGGGGUCUAAUACUGGAUAACACUCCUGCCUGCAUGGGUGGGGGUUAAAAGCUCCGGCGGUGAAGGAUGAGCCCGCGGCCUAUCAGCUUGUUGGUGAGGUAGUGGCUCACCAAGGCGACGACGGGUAGC
rnacentral:rRNA from 1 species